UACGUAGGGGGCCAGCGUUGCUCGGAAUUACUGGGCGUAAAGGGUUCGUAGGCGGUGCGGCAAGUUGGGAGUGAAAUCUCUGGGCUUAACUCAGGGGCUGCUGCAGAAACUGCCGUGCUUGAGUGUGGGAGAGGUGAGUGGAAUUCCGAGUGUAGAGGUGAAAUUCGUAGAUAUUCGGAGGAACACCAGUGGCGAAGGCGGCUCACUGGUCCAUUACUGACGCUGAGGUGCGAAAGCGUGGGGAGCAAACAGG
rnacentral:rRNA from 1 species